rnacentral:rRNA from 1 species
AUCGAACGCUGGCGGCAUGCCUAAUACAUGCAAGUCGAACGAAAGGAGGACGGGUGAGUCGUGUAUGGGAACCUGCCCGACGGAGGGGGAUAACUACUGGAACCGGUGGCUAAUGCUGCAAAACACCCGUUCGGCCCAGAUGGGAUUAGCUAGUCGGUGGGGUAAAGGCUCACCAAGGCGACGACGCCUAGCUGGUCUGAGAGGUUGACCGGCCACACGGGGACUGAGACACGGACCAGACUCCUACGGGAGGCAGCAGUGGGGAAUAUUGCGCAAUGGGCGAAAGUCUGAUGCAGCAAUGCCGCGUGUGUGAAGAAGGUCUUCGGUUUGUAAAGUUCUGUCAUCGGGGAGGCGGUACCCGCCCAGGAAGCACCGGCUAACUCCGUGCCAGCAGCCGCGGUAAUAC